GCCCGAGUGGUGAAAUUGGUAGACACAACGGACUUAAAAUCCGUCGCCCCUAAUACGGGCGUACCGGUUCGAUUCCGGUCUCGGGCACCA
rnacentral:tRNA from 2 species